UGGUGCGACGCUAGCUAAUUUUAAAUCUGCUAUGAGUAACACAGUCAAACCUAGUUAGUAUGCAAGAAACUUAUCUCUUAACACAGAAUGCAAAGUUAUGAUGCAACAGCAUGAACAAUCCCUGGUUGUCCAGUUUUCAGUACAAAGGUAGUGCAUAGAUCCAAGUUUCUUUUUGAGUUUGCUGAACUGAGGAGUCGCCGCUUCACUUCUGCUGGGCAGCCUGGAAAGCUUUCAGUUCCAGCUGGUACCACUCGGGUGCUUCCGGCCCAUUCUGCCCCACAGGGUUGUGAUCGUAUCCGUAGGCCACUGUCAAUUCUUCGUCCUUCUCCACAGCCCUGAUGGUACGGAUACACUUGAUCGGCCCGAACCGAGGGUGAACAAACGGGUCAUAGAUGCAGUUAGGAGUGAAAGAAUGGUUGGCCUUAUGCCCCAGUGAGGCACAGUACUUGGCGGCGUGGUUGUAGGGCUCCGGCACGUCUAUGACUGUUUCAUCGUCCAGGGAUAUUGUAUUCCCAUUGAGGGCCCAGUCUCUGCUGUCUACCUCCUGGUGUGUAAUUCUCACUCCAUUGUAAAAGGACAUAACGGUACGAGCUUCUGCCGCUACUUUUGAAAACAAUCCUUCUCCAGCACUGGAAAUGAGAGAGACAUCAACAUACACCCUCUCUGACUCAUAAGGAUCGGGAAGAAGAGCAUUUGUCGAAAUGCAGGAUGAAGUAGAUUUGUCAAAAGUGUACACCGGGCUGCCUGGUACUACUUCAAACUGAGGUUUCCCAUCCUCUAAGGAUGUCAGGGUUGCCAGUUUUGCUUCUAUCAUUUCUCCAUCUAUGAACUUUCCGGAAUAUGCAGUCCUUCCAUCAGGGUACACAUAGGCUAUCUUCUCUCCAGUCAUCUCUCCUUCUUCAUUCACUUCUCCUACAAGGCUGCCUCCAUCCGGGUAAUAUAUCCAACAAACUCCAUGUCGGAUGUUGUCCUUAUACUGCCCUUUGAAUAUCAGUCGCCCAUCACUGUCAUACUCCUGGGCCGGGCCGUUCAGCUCUCCAUCCACAUACGUGCCGUGAAGCACCACUCCAUCCUCGUACGUGUAGAUUCCCUGGCCCUGCAGGGCAUCAUCAACGUAGUACCCUUCCAGGGUGCUUCCAUCAAAGAAGAAGAACUUGCCACGGCCAUUCUUUUCUCCAUGCACAAAGUUUCCCUCAAACCUGUCUGUGGACGAAUAGGUGACCGUACAGAACCCAUGUGGCAACCCAUCGUCGUCUAGAUGUCCUUCCACGGUCUCCUCCAGCGUCUCCUCGUCGCUGUCC
rnacentral:lncRNA from 1 species